rnacentral:piRNA from 1 species
UGACCGAUGACGUGGUGGUUUGAUAACCAA